UUACAGGUCUGGCAAUUGGAAUGAGAACAAUUUAAAUCCCUUAUCGAGUAUCAAUUGGAGGGCAAGUCUGGUGCCAGCAGCCGCGGUAAUUCCAGCUCCAAUAGCGUAUAUUAAAGUUGUUGCAGUUAAAAAGCUCGUAGUUGGAUUUCUGGCAGGAGCGACCGGUCACUCACUCUGCGUGUGAACUCGUGUUGUCUCUGGCCAUCCUCGGGGAGAUCUUGUUUGGCAUUAAGUUGUCGGGCAGGGGAUACCCGUCGUUUACUGUGAGAAAAUUAGAGUGUUUAAAGCAGGCUUAUGCCGUUGAAUAUAUUAGCAUGGAAUAAUAAGAUAGGGCCUUGGAACUAUUUUGUUGGUUUGCGUACCGAGGUAAUGAUUAAUAGGGACAGUUGGGGGUAUUUGUAUUCAGUAUUCAGUGGUGAAAUACUUAGACCUACGGAAGACAAACUACUGCGAAAGCGUUUACCAAGGAUGUUUUCAUUGAUCAAGAACGAAGGUUAGGGGAUCGAAGACGAUCAGAUACCGUCGUAGUCUUAACCAUAAACUAUGCCGACUAGGGAUCAGUGGAUGUCAAUUUGCGACUCCAUUGGCACCUUGUGAGAA
rnacentral:rRNA from 1 species